UUUUUCCUGUCGACGUUUUUAGGACUCACCGGGUGUGACCACUCUCUCAGGAUUUAUUGCACUUAGAAAAAUAACUUUAGUUUCAGAAAUCAGGGAUGGGUACCAACAUCUUGGCUUUGUCAGCCUGACAAACUGCACAACGGGAGAGGCGAGAGGUAAGUUUUAUUUGGGCAAAAUGAGGACCAGAGCCCGGAGGCAGCCUUCCGAGAGCUGAGAAACUGCUCCAGAGAGAUGGGGGAAGGUCAGCCUAGAUGGGAUGCGGGUGAAGGGGGAGGUCCAGGCAGCCGGGCGCGCAUUUUUGCAGAAGGUCACUGCUCGUCUCAAGGGCACUGCCGGUCAUGAGGAGACAUCGCCGUGAAGGACUUUAGUGGUUUUCUAGAUACGAGGCGAUGCAAGACCUGGGCUCACGACAUCCUCUGAAAACAUCUCACUAUCCGAAGGCCUGUUCUGCCAGUUUUCCCAGAGCACGGAGCCCUCCCUCCCGAGCCCCUAAGCCUGGCUCCUUUCAGGGGUGCUGAGGGUUGGCAGCUGCAGUGGCUCCUGACUCAGUCCUCACGGAGGCAGGUGGCAGCACCUGUGUCCAGCUCACACUCUGUGCUCAUGACCUUACUCCCCUAAUUCCAUCCCCCAGGAAAGGUGACCCCGCAGGUGAGGGGCAUGACGUCGGCGGUAAGCACGACAGGUGUUACAGUCCAAGGGCAGCCCUGGGAGGGGCAGGCGGCCGGGGGCUCCUGGACGCCCCCCUGCCCCAACCCUGGUCCCCACACACCAGGGGCCGGUUUGGUCUCCUCUCUGCUUCCCCGCUCGUGCAGGUGGCGAAGAGGGUGGGGGACACCGUGGGGUGAUAGGUCCCCACAAACAGUGGAGCUCUGAUCAUGGUCACGGAAUCGCACAAGAAACCCCGCAGGCCGAGGCGGCCGUGGCAGCUCCACCAACAGCCUGGCCUCAGGCUCCUCUGUCUCCACUUUGCUGGAGCAGCUCACACCCUCGAGCGUUUCCUGGCUACAUCUUGCCAUCGUACUCUGGCGUCUAGUUACAAUGAGGAACCCCCGUCUGAGCCCAAGGGAGCCCAGCUUCGCUCUCUCAACAUCUCUUCCACCACUUCCCGGGGGCUAAGUGGAAAUUCACUCCAGACAGCAGUUCUGCCCCAUCAGGGCACAGCUCGCGUCUGGGCCAGAACUUCAUCUCUUCAUUGCAGAAAGUUAAGGAAAUCGUUGCUCAGCCAGGGAGCAAAGAUUGGCUCUGCAGCUGCUCUUUUAUGGAGCUGUUAACGCAGAGACACCAUUACUUAAAUGUAAUUUUUAGUAUUACAAUUAAAGACUGAUUUGAUUUUAUGAGAUCAUGCAUUUUUAUUUUAUGGACGUUUUUGUAGUUAAAUUCAAUUUAAAAGAUUGUAUUUAAAGUAAGGUAUAAGCACGGAGCGUAUUAAAGUUAUGUAAGCCUGCUUUUGGCGCUGUGAUAGCAAAGCUUCCAGCACUGGAUUACUCUGGUAGCGCCACAUGUUUCCUGCUACAACUACGUACUAGCUCAGGAGAAACGAACUUGGCUUCCUCUGUUUGUGACAGCCCCAAAUCUGUCAAGCCUCACGAAGCUCACUGUCAGUUUUCUGCAGGAAAGAAACACUCCUCUCCUUUCAGCCGACUCUCUGAGGAAGGACUUCCAUGGACCCAGGUGCUCUUUCGCUGGGAUUUCACUCUCUGUGCGACACGGAGCUGUGCCCGUGGGGACCAGCCUGCAGAAUGCCACGAGCUGUGCCCGUGGGGACCAGCCCUCCCAGGGCUGAGGCCAGCUGAUGACCCGGUGCGAUUUUUGAAGGCUUCGUUUCUGAUGGCAGAAAAGCACGUCAGCGUAUUUGCACGGAAUAGAUUAAGCUGCUGGGAACCACGUCCCCUUCAACCGGACUGACGUGGGACCAAGAAGGGGCUUUGUCCUUGUCACCUGGCCUGUCCUAGGUCACCGGGACAAGCAAGGGAAGCGGCGGACCCUCUUUUAAGCCCCGCGUCGCAAAAAUGCGUGAAAUGAGCCCAGACUGAAUUAGAUCCUUCCUCCCACAUAUUUUGGCUGAAAGGUCGCUCUUCCUUCUCUCACUCGUGUUUCCUGGGCGCGAAACCUGGUUUCUCCGCCAUCGAAUUAGCAGAGGAGCAAAGGUUACUCAGAUCUUGGCGCUUUGACGAGUAAGUCCUGCUGGCUGAGUGGGCCCCGUGUC
rnacentral:lncRNA from 1 species